AACCGGUUCUCGGCUAGGGAGAAGGACGGGAGCGGUGGGAAGAGCGAGGGUGUAGAGAGGGAAGUUAGGGCUUUCGCUUUCUCCCCCCACUCCAGCGGCGGCGUUCGGUCCUCUGGGUGGAAUGUGCUCGCAGCAGCAGUGACGGCGGCCACAGCACGGGAGGCACCCGAGCCAUACACCCUGCAGCUGGAGAGAAAAGGAUGGCCGAGGUGGGAGAGACUAGAGUGAACCAGCAGGAGGAAGUCCCAGGGCCGCGAAGCUACGACGGAGAUCCGUCCUGGAAAAGCCUUCUCCACCCUGGGCACUUUAAGCGGCGGUGGCGGCAAACGGCAGGAGGUUGCAGACCCGACAGCGAGACUCCCUCAUUCCAGUCUUGCUCUGCCCUCCGGAGAUGACAAGUGAGAAAGAAGUGUCCGGCCGGGCCAUCCCCUUCAGAGAAGCAACCACUUCACAAGAAGAUUCUGAAGUUGGCCAUUUUUGAUCCCAGAACAGUUUCUCAUAGAUUAGAAAUAUUGGAGUCUACACAAAAAUCGAUAUUCAUUUACAAGAUCAUCACUAAACUUAUCUUGCAUAACUUACCAAGAAUAACUGUAAAAUGUGCUGGGAAUGCAAUGUCCUGAGAUAAGGAAGAACUGCCUGAAACAGCCUGGAUCUUAUUCCUGUACUUCC
rnacentral:lncRNA from 10 species